rnacentral:rRNA from 1 species
CCUGGUUGAUCUUGCCAGUAGUCAUAUGCUUGUCUCACAGAUUAAGCCAUGCAAGUGAAAGUACAUAUGUAAAUAAUAUAUUGAAACUGCGAACGGCUCAUUAAAACAGUUAUAAUCUACUUGAUGUUUUUAAUAUAAGGAUAACUACGGAAAAUCUGUAGCUAAUACUUGUGAAAAUACCUUUUGAUAUAUACAUAUGUAUGUAUCAUUAAGGUAUGUAUUUGUUAGAUAUAAGAAUAAAAUAAAUAUAAUUGAAUUAUAACAAAGAAGAAACACAUAAAAUAUGUGUAUUAUCAAUCGAGUAUCUGACCUAUCAGCUUUUGAUGUUAGGGUAUUGACCUAACAUGGCUAUGACGGGUAACGGGGAAUUAGAGUUCGAUUCCGGAGAGGGAGCCUGAGAAAUAGCUACCACAUCUAAGGAAGGCAGCAGGCGCGUAAAUUACCCAAUUCUAAAAAAGAGAGGUAGUGACAAGAAAUAACAAUACAAUAUCGAAAAAUGAUUUUGUAAUUGGAAUGAUAGGAAUUUACAAGGUUCCUAGAGAAACAAUUGGAGGGCAAGUCUGGUGCCAGCAGCCGCGGUAAUUCCAGCUCCAAUAGCAUAUAUUAAAAUUGUUGCAGUUAAAACGUUCGUAGUUGAAUAUUAAAGAAUCCGAUGUUUCAUUUAAACUGGUUUGGGAAAACCAAAUGUAUUAUAUAUUUUGCUUUGUUCAAAAUAAGGUUUUCUAAUAAAUUAUGUUUUUAUCAGAUAUGACAGAAUCUUUUUUAAAAUCUCUUCAAUAUGCUUUUAUUGCUUUUGAGAGGUUUUGUUACUUUGAGUAAAAUUAAGUGUUCAUAACAGACGGGUAGUCAUGAUUGAGUUCAUUGUGUUUGAAUACUACAGCAUGGAAUAACAAAUAUGAAUAAGCUAAUUAUUUUUUUUUUCAUUAUUUUUUUUGAUAUUCUUAUUAGCUUAGUUACGAUUAAUAGGAGUAGCUUUGGGGGCAUUCGUAUUCAGAUGUCAGAGGUGAAAUUCUAAGAUUUUCUGGAGACGGACUACUGCGAAAGCAUUUGCCUAAUCUAUUUCCAUUAAUCAAGAACGAAAGUUAAGGGAGUGAAGACGAUCAGAUACCGUCGUAAUCUUAACCAUAAACUAUACCGACUAGGUGUUGGAUGAAUAUAAAAAAUAUAUAAAUAUGUAGCAUUUCUUAGGGAAUGUUGAUUUUAUAUUAGAAUUGCUUCCUUCAGUACCUUAUGAGAAAUCAAAGUCUUUGGGUUCUGGGGCGAGUAUUCGCGCAAGCGAGAAAGUUAAAAGAAUUGACGGAAGGGCACCACCAGGCGUGGAGCUUGCGGCUUAAUUUGACUCAACACGGGAAAACUCACUAGUUUAAGACAAGAGUAGGAUUGACAGAUUAAUAGCUCUUUCUUGAUUUCUUGGAUGGUGAUGCAUGGCCGUUUUUAGUUCGUGAAUAUGAUUUGUCUGGUUAAUUCCGAUAACGAACGAGAUCUUAACCUGCUAAUUAGCGGUAAGUACACUAUAUUUUUAUUUGAAAUUGAAUAUAGGUAAUUAUACAUGUUUAUUCAGUGUUCAAAUUAGGAUAUUUUUUUAUUAAAAUAUUCUUUUCCCUGUUCUACUAUAAUAAUUUGUUUUUUUUUACUCUAUUUCUCUCUUCUUUUAAGAAUGUACUUGUUUGAUUAAAUAAAGCUUCUUAGAGGAACAGUGUGUAUCUAACACAAGGAAGUUUAAGGCAACAACAGGUCUGUGAUGUCCUUAGAUAAACUAGGCUGCACGCGUGCUACAAUGAUAUAUAUAACAAGUUGUUAAAAAUGUACUUAUAAAUAAGUGUGUACAGUUUUUCCUGUACUGAAAAGUAUAGGUAAUCUUUAUCAGUAUAUAUCGUAAUUGGGAUAGAUUAUUGCAAUUAUUAAUCUUGAACGAGGAAUGCCUAGUAAGCAUGAUUCAUUAGAUUGUGCUGACUACGUCCCUGCCCUUUGUACACACCGCCCGUCGCUCCUACCGAUUGAAAGAUAUGAUGAAUUGUUUGGAUAUGAAUUAAAAUAAUGAAAUUUUAUAUUUCUGAUUUUUUCUAGAAGAACUGUAAAUCCUAUCUUUUAAAGGAAGGAGAAGUCGUAACAAGGUUUCCGUAGGUGAACCUGCGGAAG